rnacentral:rRNA from 1 species
GACGAACGCUGGCGGCGUGCUUAACACAUGCAAGUCGAACGGAAAGGCCCUGCUUUUGUGGGGUGCUCGAGUGGCGAACGGGUGAGUAACACGUGAGUAACCUGCCCUUCACUUUGGGAUAACUUCAGGAAACUGGGUCUAAUACCGGAUAGGAGCUCCUGCUGCAUGGUGGGGGUUGGAAAGUUUCGGCGGUUGGGGAUGGACUGGCGGCUUAUCAGAUUGUUGGUGGGGUAGUGGCAUACCAAGGCUUGGCCGGGUAGCCGGCCUGAGAGGGUGACCGGCCAAACUAGGAUGGCGAUGCGACCCAGACCCGUAUGGGAGGCAACGGUGGGGAAUAUAGCACAAUGGGAGGAAGCAAGAUGCAGCCAAGCCACGUGCGGGAUGACGGCCUUCGGGUAGUAAACCGCAGUCGCCUGUGCCGAAGCGUGAAUGACGGUAAUGGGUGAAGAAGCACCGGCUAACUACGUG